AUGCACGCCCUUGCAUGUGCCGCAUCCCUCCUGCGUCGAGCCAUGGCCUCCCUGCCCCAGCUCGGCGCCAUCGGCUGCGACACCCCGCUCCUCGCCAAGAUUUUGCCAAAUGUCUACUCCAAAGGGUAUUCUACUCUUUUGGCUCCAGCAAAUGAAGCACUGAUUCCACCGGAACUUCUAUCUAGCAAGACUGUCUGGACACCAGACCGAGAGCUUGGGCAGUAUGAGGACCUAGUAGCUAGAGUAACAAACUUCCAUAAUGAGGACAACGGAUUCAUGGUUUUGGAUGGUGAUGUUUUUGAUGUUCCAAUUAGGAAGGAUAUCGUUCACAGGGUAGUAAGGCAGCUUGCUAAAAGGCAACAGGGGACACACUCAACUAAAACUAUCAGUGAAGUGAGCGGCACAGGAAGAAAGCCUUACAAGCAAAAAGGAACUGGAAGAGCACGUCACGGAACAUUGCGUGGUUGUCAGUUUCGAGGAGGUGCAACUAUGCAUGGCCCGAAACCACGAAGCCAUGCAUUCAAGUUGCAGAAGAAAGUACGGCGUCUGGGACUUAAGAUAGCCUUGUCUGCUAGAACAGCUGAGGGGAAGCUCUGCAUCUUUGAGGACCUAGAAGUCCCCAGCCACAAGACGAAAAACAUCGUGCAGUACAUCAAGCAGAUGGACGAUACGAAGAAGGUUUUGUUGGUGGAUGGAGGCGACAUCGAUAAGAAGUUAAAGCUGGCUACUCAAAAUCUUCACUACGUGAAUGUCAUUCCUUCGAUUGGCCUCAAUGUCUACAGCAUCCUCCAGCAUGACACACUCGUAAUGACUCGGGACGCCGUCAACAGAAUCGUUGAGCGGAUGCACACCCCCAUCAGCCGCUAG
rnacentral:rRNA from 1 species